rnacentral:sRNA from 3 species
AUGUACCACUCGUACACUCCGGUUCCUGCGCGCCGUCCGCGCCCGCCUGACAGCUGCUCGCUACGUUUUGUUAGCC